rnacentral:lncRNA from 1 species
GGACUAGCAGGCAGCUCCAGCCCCUUGCUUAUAUACCUGAAGCACCACCAGUUCUCAGUGACAUCUCUGGCCACUGUAGGAUUAGAGAACAAGGAGCAAAUGCUUUUCUUUUGAGGAGGUAAGCCAGAUUUUGUUGCCUGUCUCUCUGCACUGCUGAAUGACAGUCUGAGGUUUAACUGGCAAUCUGAGGUUUUCUGGCUGGAAACAAACCUGCUUCCUCAAACAAUAACAAAAAACCCCCAGAGUUAGCCUUGUUUUUCAGAAACUCCUGGCAGGUUGUUGGCACUGCUGAGGCAAGGCUGUGGGAGCUUCAGGGUGGCACUUGGACAGCUGAGGAGAGGCAGAACAUUUUUGGUCACAGUCACUGAGCAUCACUCUGAUCCCAGCUACUUCCCAGGGAUGGCAUAGGUGCCCUGGGAUGCUGCUGGUGUUUGUUGGCUCUCUGAAGCAUCUGCCUUGGGAUGCUGUGUCUGAGAGAUGCAUGCUGAGCUCCUGCAUGUCCCUCCAGGCAUGAUGGACCUCCAGCACUUGGUCAGCAAGCUGUCCCAGCGUGAGCACCUGGCCAGCCUGGGCAGGGAGCUCCUCCAGGACAUCCUGCGGUACCUGCACCGCGUCGGGCUCGUCGUGUGGUACGAGGAGAUCAAGCCCUUGGAGAGCACCGUGUUCCUCCAGCCCACAUUCCUAAUAACCAUGUUCAAGGCCAGGGAGUUUGUGCCUGGGAAGCCUUGGGAGACAACACGGAGCCAAGGCAAGUCCUGGUACUUGUUCCAAACCUAUCUGAACCAGACAGAGGAAGUGUCUGAGGUGUGGGAAGGAGACCACCCUGAGGACCUCCACGUUCGUGCCUACUUCUCACCUGAAAUACCUGAGGGCUUCUUCCAGAGGUUCCUGGUGAAAGCUUGCUCUUUCUAUUCCACGCACUGGGUGGCCAAGGUGACCUGCCUGCUUGUAUGCAAUGGCAAACCUCUGCUGAUCAAAGAGAAUAACCAGAGGGCCUACAGCUACCUGGAGCUCCACUGCAGAAAGCCAUCAGAAAGGACAGGUAAGAUCCCUGGUUCAUAUUUCGUGUCUCUCCUUAGCUCUGCCCCUGCCACCUCCAGCCCUAUGGGAAGUGUCCCAAGUAGCCUCUACCACAUGUCCUAG